rnacentral:rRNA from 1 species
GGACUCAGGAGAGACUGCCGCAGACAAUGCGGAGGAAGGCGGGGAUGACGUCAAGUCAUCAUGCCCCUUAUGGCUUGGGCUACACACGUACUACAAUGGCUCUUAAUAGAGGGACGCGAAGGAGCGAUCCGGAGCAAACCCCAAAAACAGAGUCCCAGUUCGGAUUGCAGGCUGCAACCCGCCUGCAUGAAGUAGGAAUCGCUAGUAAUCGCAGGUCAGCAUACUGCGGUGAAUACGUUCCCGGGCCUUGUACACACCGCCCGUCACACCACGAAAGUCAUUCACACCCGAAGCCGGUGAGGUAACC